CUGAAGAGUUUGGGGGAACUU
rnacentral:miRNA from 1 species